CCAAACGGGUGGUAAACAUCACCUAAGGCUAAAUAUCGGCGAGAGACCGAUAGCGAACAAGUACCGUGAGGGAAAGAUGAAAAGAACUUUGAAAAGAGAGUUAAACAGUACGUGAAAUUGUUGAAAGGGAAACGAUUGAAGUCAGUCGUGCUGGCGCGAAAUCAACCCUUUAGUCGAAAGGUCACACGGCGUGGCGAGCCUCUAAACCGUCACGAAGCGGGACCCCUUGAUGAAAGGGAGCACUUUCGUGUCCGCUGGUUUACAUCAAUUUCGAUCGUCAUAAAAAGGCUGGAGGGAUGUGGCUCCUUCGGGAGUGUUAUAACCUUUAGCGGAAUGUGGUGGUCGGGAUUGAGGAUUGCAACGAAUACCUUCGGGGCUGUUCCACCUGGCCUCUCUUUGGUAUCCUGGUGACGACAGCUUGCUGACGUCGUUAGGAUUCGCCUUUGAACAGGCUAGAGUGUGAGCAA
rnacentral:rRNA from 1 species